rnacentral:rRNA from 1 species
UACGUAGGGUGCAAGCGUUUGUCCGGAAUUAUUGGGCGUAAAGAGCUCGUAGGCGGUCUGUCGCGUCGGGGAGUGAAAACUCAGGGCUUAACCCUGAGCCUGCUUCCGAUACGGGCAGACUAGAGGUAUGCAGGGGAGAACGGAAUUCCUGGUGUAGCGGUGAAAUGCGUAGAUAUCCGGAGGAACACCAAUGGCGAAGGCAGUGUCCUGGGAAGUACCUGACGCUCAGGUGCGAAAGCUAGGGGAGCGAACAGG